UACGUAGGGUGCAAGCGUUAAUCGGAAUUACUGGGCGUAAAGAGCGCGCAGGCGGUCGUUCAAGUCGAGUGUGAAAGCCCCCGGCUCAACUGGGGAGGGUCAUUCGAUACUGAUCGACUCGAAGGCAGGAGAGGGUAGUGGAAUUCCCGGUGUAGUGGUGAAAUUCGUAGAUAUCGCAAGAACACCAGUGGCGAAGGCGGCUCACUGGCCCGGUACUGACGCUGAGGUGCGAAAGCGUGGGGAGCAAACAGGGAUUAAGAAACCCCAGU
rnacentral:rRNA from 1 species